rnacentral:tRNA from 1 species
GGGCAUGUAGUUCAGUGGUAGAACGCUUCACUGAUAAUGAAGAGGUCGAAGGUUCGAUUCCUUCCAUGCCCACCA